rnacentral:rRNA from 1 species
CCUACGGGUGGCUGCAGUGGGGAAUUUUGCGCAAUGGACGAAAGUCUGACGCAGCAACGCCGCGUGGGUGAUGAAGGUCUUCGGAUCGUAAAACCCUGUCGUCAGGGACGAAGGUUGCAUGUCUAAUAGAUGUGCAGCUUGACGGUACCUGGAGAGGAAGCCCCGGCUAACUCUGUGCCAGCAGCCGCGGUAAUACAGAGGGGGCAAGCGUUAUUCGGAAUGAUUGUGGGUAAUGGGCUAAGUGGCGGGUGUAAUCCCAGGGCUUAACUUGGGAACUGCAUCUCAGACUGGGGCGCUAGAGUGCUGGAGAGGGUGGUGGAAUUCCACGUGUAGCGGUGAAAUGCGUAGAGAUGUGGAGGAACACCAGUGGCGAAGGCGGCCACCUGGACAGUAACUGACGCUGAGGCGCGAAAGUGUGGGGAGCAAACAGGAUUAGAUACCCUAGUAGUC